rnacentral:rRNA from 1 species
GACGAACGCUGGCGGCGUGCUUAACACAUGCAAGUCGAGCGAGAAAGCUCUUUCGGGAGCGAGUACAGCGGCGAACGGGUGAGUAACACGUGGGCAACCUGCCCAAGGGAGCGGGACAACCCGGGGAAACUCGGGCUAAUACCGCAUAACGCGUCAUGUCACAAGGCGUGACGCCAAAAAGGUAGCUUCGGCCUCCGCCCUUGGAUGGGCCCGCGGCGCAUUAGCUUGUUGGUGGGGUAACGGCCUACCAAGGCGACGAUGCGUAGCUGGUCUGAGAGGACGAUCAGCCACACUGGGACUGAGACACGGCCCAGACUCCUACGGGAGGCAGCAGUGGGGAAUCUUGCGCAAUGGGCGAAAGCCUGACGCAGCAACGCCGCGUGAG